AAAUUGUAAUAGACUCCAAGAUGUUGCAUUAUGUUGCAUAAUAACUGCUGCUCUAAAGGCAAUAAAUAAAUAUACAUGCAAUUCAGUUUAGAAACAACAACAGAACCCAAAGAUAUUGCACACCUUCCAGACCUCAACCUACAUUUGGUUCAAAAUUAUGAUGGGGGUGAGGUUCAAAGGAGUAUUUAACAUUGUUCAAAUUAGUUUUUGGGAUUCUGUACCUUCUGCCAGAGGGCAAGAGCUCAUAUUCCACAAACAGAAUGUGGGAUGGAUCCAACAAUACCAUCCGUUUCUGCAUAUCACAAUAAUAUCAAGUAAUUAUGAAGCCUCUGCUCCAAAAAGCUUUGACCAAGAUAGUUUAACAAUGUAGGAAAUAUGUUUAAAUUAUAAACUGCGAACUGGUUUGACACACACUCACCACUCACUUGAUUAGGUUCCCCCAAUCCCUUAACUGCUAUUAUUAUCUGUGGCGUAAUUGUCAGUAGCAAAUCCAUAAUGUGAAUCUCAUUUUCCACCACAUACAUGAUCCCUUAUACUUUGUUCUCGUUUGGUCCUCGGGGACAGAAUGCAGGCUAAAGCCCGGAAUAAAACAGGUUGGCCUGAGGGUGGAAACAUACACGGGCUAAACUGGGAGAAGUGGGUCACCUUGACUCUUCACAACUCCACCCGUUUUGAGCAAAGUCAUUAAUAGAGUUAAAACUACUACAAAUAAAAGCGGCAUGCAGAGUCUGUAUAUUUCUGUGGUUCAAAUGUUUAGGAAUCUACCAGAGACACAACCAAACUACCAAGACGGCUUGUUGAAGGACUGAACGACUGCAUCUGUCCAAAUCAACACUACCUUUGUUGAGCUGGAAAACUCUGCCUUGAGGUAAAAACACAGUCUAGCUCAUAUAAUAUGUAGAUAACGACACUUUAUUCAAACAAAAAUAGCAGGCAUCACUCACAAAUUGCCUGGAUUCCAUGCUAAAAAUACAGGCUACGGCCAAUAAAAGACCGAGUCGUCUAUGGGGAUGUGUUACAACAUAACCUCUGUGUUGCUGCUUCUGUAACUCACAUAAUACAAAACAAAACCUAUGAAUCAUAGCACAAAAAAGAGAAAGCUGAAAAAGGGAGAUUGGUCAGGAGCAAUCAUAUUAACAUAUGUUAAGUUUUUACGUUAGCAACAUGGUUCUGCAACUGUCGUGCAAGCACCAUUGUUGGUGUCUUUUUAGUAGAUAUUCGAAAUCAAUUCUGAUAUCACAAACAGACAAAAAGAUGAGUUGUGUAAGCACGAGGGGUUCUAGCCUUGGAAAAAACAGCACAAUACAGAUUAUAUCAGGAAGUUGGAGUGCUACCUGAAGUAAGCAUUAAUGAAACAUUUCAACAAACAUAUUUAAUGCAAUGUAAUAACAUUUAUUUCAAAGAAAAUGCAACAACUGUUCACAUUUCUGCUAUAAAUAAUAUAACACAUUGACUGCUACAGAUAUGAUUCUGAAGUUGAAGAGGUUUCUUUAUUGUUCUUUUAAUUGUGACACAAAAUCUUAAGCAGAUGACAAAUUUCUUAUUUAGCUGUUUUCAAGGGCUUAGUUUGCAGAAUAAACAUUUGUGUCAUUUUUCUUGUUGCAAAGCUACCAACACAUGAUAAACAAGCAAUAAGCCAACAUCUCUGGUAGGCUAGGGUUGGGGUUAGCAACGAAAAAUAAAUGGCUAUCAUUUGUGCAUUAUGUCUCAAAAACAGUAAAGCAAACAAACGCAAGUCAAUCAUGAUUUAAAACACGAUUGAAAUACAUGGUAACUUCUGGAGGUAUGCAAGCUGUUUGUGUGCACGUAUAUAAGCAAAGAGCAGAGGAACAACGGCGUCAAGUCUUUAUCUUAUCACAGUGGAGUUCAUAUUCCCUCAAGAGGGCUACCUGUCUCCUAAGAACUACUCUAAUCAGAGUUAAGGGGAUCUGUCUUCUGCAGUUAAAUAUCCCAAAAUACUAUUCAAUCUACAGGGUCAUUUAUAUGCUAAUGCAGAGAUUACUUUUGCAUACACGUUUGACACUGCAGUGUGCUGUUGGAGAAGAAAAAUAAUAGUAAGAAAACAAAUUCGGCGAGACUGAAGAAGGAUGAGAGGAGGAUGAAAGAGGAGGGGAAAGGAAGAGGAGAGAUGAAGGCAAGGAGAGCAGAGAGAAGACACUGGGAGGAAGGAGGAGAGCAAUUCCCCUGGGUAGGUACCAUAGGUAAUUAAAAUAAGAUGGACAUAGCUGGAGUCUUGCCAAAGAGAGAGCUCCAGCUCUCUUCAGACUUCUCCCCCAGUCAGACCCUUCUGCCUAAAGCCAAAGAGCUGCAAGUGACACGCAAAACAAUAAACGCUGAAUGAACAGACAGCUCAGAAAUGUAACAGCCCCAGCACGAGGAAUUUGGGCAACAAAAUAGGUAAUGUAUUCAUCUUUGCAGCUGCAGUAAAACAACAAUUCACAGACACUCAGACAGCGCAUGUGCUCACGCACACACACACACACGCACACGCACCAAUAUCCCCACACACAGAGACUUUUACAGUGCUGUGCAAAGCUGCAGCAAGGGCAAACGUUGCUAACCAGAGUUUGACUGCAGUAAGCACAUAUACAUUCACUGCACAGCUCCGAGCUGGAAGCGAGCACAUGAGUAUGCGGCGCACACAUUCAGGCACACACAAUCAGCACAGAGUCAAACGCACACACACACAUGCACACUCCAGCAGCAGCGUGUACAGCAGCAGUGAGGAUGCAGUCUAAUUACACAACAGUGACACCUAUGAAUCUGACCGGCUUUUAUGGUGUCGUUACUCUUUUUUGUUUGUUUUUUUCAGUAUUAAUGAUGCACUUUGCUCUGUGGACGGCAGAUCGGCUCAAAUUCAGAACAAAGAGGAUUUGUCUGAUUAUAUUAAAUCAGAUUCACCUGUUUGGAAAAUAAAUUCUGAUUUCGGGGCAAAAUGAUCAGUGGGGUGGGUGUUAUUUUGCUCUUUUUUUUUUGUUUUUUGUUUUUUUGUUCACUGACUGGAACCAAAAUUCUGCAUACCUUUUAUUUGUCUACCUCGUCGUGUUAAAUUCUGCAUGACAUCCGUAGCCAUCUACGUGGAUUCUCUGGUGCUAGUAAAGAAAGAGCCUGAAGGGUAGCCCAUAUUCUUGUCACGCUGUUCUUUGUGUGCUCUGAUCUCUAAGGGUAAAUAUAGCUCUUUUGGCAGGAGCCUGCUAAGAGGAUCAUAGCUCACAAUAGGUGGUCCAAACACAAACAGCAAACAAAAUGGCAAAAGAACCCGCUUAUAGGCUGAUGUGCGCACAUCCACAAGGCGCACGCACACGCUCCGACACACGCUGCUGCAGCACGAACACCAAAAUAUGCAACGACAGAUACAACGCCUUCCCUCUGAGAGGCUUCUCUUUUCCUUGUAGGUAUAAUUGUGUUGUGGCUAUGCUUUGCUUCUUCCCUCACAGUUGUGACGGAGCUGCAGGUGAAAAGCCGUAAUUAAAGAAGAAAAGUUGUGUUUGUUGUGUGAGAAGGGUGGUUGCAGGAGAGAAGAGGAAGCUGAGAGACAGAAAAGAAAAAAAAAAACCUUCAUCAGACAGUGAAAUCAUCCCGAGGAGCUGGGACACAAAGGACUCGGAUGCCUUUAUCUCCCGACAGAAAAGUCUUCCAAAUCCCUCUGGCUAAGCUGCCAUAACUAAAGCCCGUGCUUGGAACAGGUGCCUGGUGAAUUGGUUGAACAACAAAAGUAGCAAAAUUAGACAAGAUAGACCGAGCUCCAAAGAGACGUAUAAACUCUCAUUUAUUGUGGGCAAAAAAGGGGGGAAAAAAAGCCAAGCGCCUUGGCAGUGGCAUUUGAGAAAAGGUUACCUGGUAAAUUGCUUAUCUUGUUUGUGUGUGUGUGAGCGCUAUAGGUGUGAGUGCAAAGACUUGGGGCUAGAUGGGCACUCUGCCCCACUGCAAUUAUUUUUGCUACAACUAAGAAAACACAAAAUGCAGGAGAUCAAAGUGUCUCUCUCUCUCUCUCUCUCUCUCUCUCUCUCUUAACUGAAUUGAAACAGCUGUGAAAUCACUAACAAUCCAAUUAGCAGCCAGUUAGAUGGGCGGAGCGGUUACACGGAUUGACGCGGGCUCGUUUGUAGGGAGAGACUCGCAACGAUCCUCGUACGCAACAAACAACUUCAAGUCAGGCAUUCGGAAACCACUUACAUGUGCGUAGGCUGGGUGUCCGCACAGAUAGAGAGCACUCGACCUGAAGAAAUGCCGUAUUUAGAUCAGAUUCACGUUUCUGGACUACAAAGGAGCCCUGUAAAUAUCUCUGAACUCCCAGAUGAGGCCUGUCUCAGAGGAGCUGUGAAGAUGAUGCAGUGGACAGAGCAGAUG